rnacentral:lncRNA from 1 species
GUUUUUCCCAGGAAAAUUGGGAAUUCCAGGGGUUGGGAGUGACUUUUCCCAGGGUUUUUCCCAGGAAAAGCGGGAAUUCCCAGGAAAAGCGGGAAUUCCGGAGGCCGGGAAGGGCUCGGGGCUGAUUUUUCCCGGGAUUUUCCAGCGGCACGCUUCGUCCAGCGAGGAAUUCUCGGAUUUCAGCGACGACUCCGAGUUCAGCCCCGGGGAGAAGGGACACCGGAAAUACCGGGAAUACAGCCCGGCCUAUCCCCAUUCCCAGGCUCCGCGGCCGAGCCGCUCCAGGCCCGAUUCCCGCGGUUACGGCUUCGAGGACCCCGAGGCCUUCGGCCCCAACGAGGAGGAGGAGGAGGCCAAGGACGGCUACGGAGACUUCGGAGCGGAGCUGAGCCCCUUCCGGCGCGGCAGGGAGCACGGCCAGAGGGCCAGGGGUAGGGAAAAACCGGGAUAAAACGGGAAAAACCGGGAUAAAACGGGGAAAAAAUGGGAUAAAACGGGAAUGGAGCACGGCCAGAGGGCCAGGGGUAGGGAAAAACCGGGAAUGAAGGGGAAAAACCGGGAUAAAACAGGGAAAAGGGA